rnacentral:rRNA from 1 species
CCUACGGGAGGCAGCAGUGAGGAAUAUUGGUCAAUGGACGAGAGUCUGAACCAGCCAAGUAGCGUGAAGGAUGACUGCCCUAGGGGUUGUAAACUUCUUUUAUAUGGGAAUAAAACGUUCCACGUGUGGGAUUUUGUAUGUACCAUAUGAAUAAGGAUCGGCUAACUCCGUGCCAGCAGCCGCGGUAAUACGGAGGAUCCGAGCGUUAUCCGGAUUUAUUGGGUUUAAAGGGAGCGUAGGUGGAUUGUUAAGUCAGUUGUGAAAGUUUGCGGCUCAACCGUAAAAUUGCAGUUGAAACUGGCAGUCUUGAGUACAGUAGAGGUGGGCGGAAUUCGUGGUGUAGCGGUGAAAUGCUUAGAUAUCACGAAGAACUCCGAUUGCGAAGGCAGUUCACUGGACUGCAACUGACACUGAGGCUCGAAAGUGUGGGUAUCAAACAGGAUUAGAUACCCGAGUAGUC